rnacentral:rRNA from 1 species
AUUGAACGCUGGCGGCAUGCUUUACACAUGCAAGUCGAACGGUAACAGGCCGCAAGGUUCUGACGAGUGGCGGACGGGCGGGUAAUGCAUCCGAGCGUGCCCAGUCGUGGGGUAUAACUACUCGACAGAGUAGCUAAUACCGCAUACGAUCUAUGGAUGAACUCGGGGGACCGUAAGGGCUCGCGCGAUUGGAGCGGCCUAUGUCGGAUUAGGUAGUUGGUGGGGUAAAGGCUUACCAAGCCCACGAUCUGUAGCUGGUGUGAGAGGACGACCAGCCACACUGGGAGUGAGACACGGCCCAGACUCCUACGGGAGGCAGCAGUGGGGAAUGUUGGACAAUGGGCGCAAGCCUGAUCCAGCAAUGCCGCGUGCAGGAAGAAGGCCUUCGGGUUGUAAAAUGCUUUUGUACGGAACGAAACGGCUCUGGUUAAUACCCGGGGCUAAUGACGGUACCGGAAGAAUAAGCACCGGCUAACUACGUG